rnacentral:piRNA from 1 species
UAGUCAAGAUGAAGAGGGACACACUGCCC